GGAAGGAAGGGUUUUGGGGGGACAAAAAUAUAGGGGAAAAUUGAAAAAUAUUUCACAUCUUUUGAAAGAGUAUUUUCUUAGAGGGUGAUAAAUUAAUGCUUAUGAUUAAUAUAUUUUUAAUUUUAAGAAUAUUAUAACAAUAUAUAUUAUAUUUGAAGAAUUCAUAUAAACCCUCUCAAACCCCCAAAACUCUCCUCCAAUACAAUUUUUUAGUUCCUCAAAUGAGGAUGAUUUUAUAUUUUGAAGAAAAACAAGCCCCCCAAAGCCUCUCCUUCCAAUGUCUUCUAUUUUUUUCACUUCCUCUUUACCUUUUUCCCAAACCCUCCAUUUCCUUCCUCUCCAAACUCGCAAACAAAGCCUAAAGGCACAUGUUAAUCAACACAAAAGUAGAAGCAUUCUCUUAAAUUUUGUUCAUUCAAGUAAUUAAAAAUAACAAAAGUAAAUUUAAUAUACGGAUUUCAACAAAAUAUUUCUACAUUUAACUUAUUAACUUGUGCCUUAAGGUAUAAGCGAGUAUUUCUCAAAUAAAAAUUCUUCUUUAAAUUUGUUAACAAACACUCUUAAAACACUUUUCUAAAUUUCCUUAACCAUUUAAAGAACAUAAAUGAAUAAAUGUUGCCCCUAUUAUCCAUGACAAUAAGACAUAAAUGAAUCAAUGUUGCCCGUAUUCUACAUGACAAUAUGCAACACAACAAUCACUCACUCUUCAUUUUGGAACCCCGUUUUUUCAUGUUGGCAAGUGUGCUACUACACGGCGGAAUGCACUUCAGUAAGUAUGGUCCCUAUAUAUAGGUCGUGGUAAAUGUCCUGCAUAGGAUUCAUUUUCCUUUUUUUUUUUCUCUAAAUUAUUAAAAUAUGAAUAAUCAAAAUUGCAGAUGGAAUCUAAGUUUUUUUUUAAUGAAAAAUAGUAUUUGUAUAACUAUUUUAUAAUAAUUUUUGGACAAUAUUGUUUCUUAUACAGUUAUACUCACAUUAUAUUUUUAUUAUCUUUUUUUUUUUUUAUUGUUAUUGAUCAAUAAAAAGAAAAACAAAUAAAAUUGUCACAAAUUUUUUUAUUAAUUGAUUCUUCAAAUAUCAUUGCUCUUUUCUCUUGAAGUGCAUGUCGUCACUUAGCAUGCAUCCCUCAAGAAAUUUAUGAACACGUUGAUUUGAUUCAGUUAGACACCUAACUUUAUUUGCAAAAUAACGUCUUUUAACUAUUUAAACAAUUUGCUAAAAAAAAAAACUAUUUAAACAAUGUCAUAAGUUGGUCUUUAACUAUUUAAACACCUAGCUUAAUUUUUAUUUUAUUUUUUUACAAAAAACACCUAGCUUAAUUAAAUACAUGUAGUCUUGUAACUACCCUUAAAUUGAUUAAUCUAAGUUUAUAAAUGAAACUGCAAAGUCUUUUAUUAAUCCACAUAAGUGGAAUAAACGAAUGUGUUGGGGUUUGAACCCCGAUCAUAUUGUCUAGGGAUGUAAAUGGAUAUCUAUGGAUGCAGAUAGUUUGAUAUCCGUGUCCACUCCGUUUGAUAAAUAUGAAAUAUGUGCCCUAUCAAUAUCCGCAUGGAUAUCCGUUUAGCGGGUAAUCCAUAGAUUUUGAGGUAUUCACGAGUUUAUACAGAUAUCCAUGGAUAACAUUUAAAAAAAUAAAAUAAAAAAUUUGUUUAAUUUUUUUAGCUAAAAUUCAGAAACAAAGGUUCUUCACAUGUGUUUUCUUUUCUUUUUAGAAAAACAUAAUAUCAUACAUUACAAUAACAAAAAGAUCAUUGACUCAACAAAAACAUAAAUAAAGUCCUUACAUUUAAUAAAAAUAAAGUUCUUUGAUUUAACAAAGGCAUAGCUAAAGCUCAUAUAUUCAACAAAAACACAAUACCUAGGAUUUUUUCUUAGGAUGUUGAAUGGUAUUAAGGAUAUUUAUGUAAUUUACUCUGUGUAAUAACGGAUAUGUUUAUCCGCGGGUGUGGAUACCAUUGAAUUCGCAUCUGUAUCCAUUAAUUAGCGGGUAGUUAAAAAAUCCGUUUAUUUUAUCCAUGGAUAUCCAUUAAGGUAUCCGCUCCGUGUCCGUGGCGGAUUUUAUCCGCGGAUAUCCACGGAUGUGGAUAUUUUUGCCAUCCCUUGUCCAAUCUAGCAAUUUUAGAAUUUUUACCAAUUGAACUAGGAUUUAUGGACCCCAUUUUACAUUAUAAAUCCUAUAAUAUUUAAAAGUGAGUAAACCAUCAAACUGGUCUCUGUCUUUGUACCAACUUCUCAAAUUGGUCUUUGACUCUAUUAAUAACUCAAAAUGGUAUUUGUCUUUAUCAAAAGUUUCUCAGAUUGGUCCCUGACUCUAUUAGUUGUUUUGCAUUUUAAGCCUUUAACGUACCAAAUAAGAUCAAAAUGUAUUAUGCCAUUAACCACUAAAUAAUAUCCAAAAGACAUUGAGACAUUAACACUUAAAAUACAAAACAACUAAUAGAGUCAGAGACCAAUCUGAGAAACAUUUAACAAAGACAGAGACCAUUUUGAAUUAUUAAUAGAGUCAGGGAUCAAAUUGAAAAUUUGAUAUAAAGACAUAAACCAAUUCGAUAGUUUACUCAUUUAAAAGUUGCUUGUUAUUAAGAAAUAAAGUAAAAGCACAAGAUCAAAGAAGAAGAGGAAGGAGAAGAUGAAAGCACUUUGUAUUAUUCUCUUCACAAGUGUGUCUUUGCAAUACAAUAUGAGACCUAUUAUAAUACACAAGAUGAGUAAGUGAGUGAUCAAGGCAACUAAGGUCCAGUAACUAUUCACUUACCAAUGGAAAUUAUAGGAAGGUGAAAGACUUAAGGAUGUACAUCCACUAAGUCAUUAUUUCAUAAAACUUGUGAUAAUAAUCCUUGUUAUUUUAGUUUUUAGUUUCUUUAUGUAUUUAUGCAUGUUAGAACAGUUGCACUCAUUUUGUGCAGCCAAGUUCCAAAAGGAAAAAUGUUUCAGUUUCAUUCAAUAUACCAGAACUGAAUAGUGACUUGAAUUGUGUUAGUAACCAUCAAACUAAAGAUAAAGCUAAUAUGCUAAAUCACAACUCUCUCACUCAAACCCGGAAGGUGGAUGUUAGCAUCCAUUCUAAGGUUGCUCCUACAUCUCAAGCUCAAAUUACAUCUCAUUGUGAUACCAUUGGAGUCAAUCAAUCCAAUGAAACCAUUGCAGCUAUGGCGCAGGAAUGUACAGAAAAUUUGAGCCUAGAACUACUAAAUUCAUUUGCUUAUUUGGAUGCUGGGAAUCUUGUGGAUUUGGGGGAGGCUUUGUCUGAGGAAUUGGAGAACUUAGAUGCUUCAUCUGACGUGCAUAAGGUUGUCCAUGAUGCACCUAUUGUCACUCCUCUAGAGGAUGUUGUAUUAGCUCCCGUUCCUAUGCCGCAACCUAUAACCACCAAAUUUGCUAGCUUAACUAGUGACAAGCUCCCUUCAAGCUAAACAUUUAUCCCUGCUUCCAAACCUCUUUCUGCUGCAGCCAAAAAGAGUGUGCAGAUUCUUUUCAAAUUUUGGGGGGAUGAGGUAGAAGAGGGUGAUGUAGAAGAGGACAACGAUGAAGCCAUUUAUCAGACUUUGAGCAGCACUAUCCAAACCUAUCGGGGAGCACUAAAGCAGAGAAAAUGAAGAAGAAACAUGUGAGCAAAGUGAAGCCUGCUAGCUUUAACUCAGCUGACAUGAGGACCCGUGCCCAGAAGGGUACCUUCAAAAUAGACUUGGCAGCUACGGAAUAACUGGUUUUAUUGCAAUAAAAUAACUAGAAAUGUCAUUUAUUUUAUAUAAUUUUUCAUAGGGAGGGUAGUCUUGUAGCAGUUGUUAUGGCAUUAUGGUCAUAAACUGCCUAGUUUUUUUAGGAUCUUUCCUUUCUAGGGAUAGAUCUGGUUUUUCUUUUCUUAGGUUCUCCGCGAUGUGACUCUUGUUGUAUUGGUUCAUGCAUCUCUUGUCUUUUAUAUUUUCGUGCUUUGAUCAAAAAAUAGAACAACUGAUCCCAUACUAUGUAGAGUAUAUUAAUUUUAGUCACUCAAAUAAGAACUAUUAUAGAGUUAUAUUAUUUCAACAUCAUAAUAUAAAUAGAUAUGCGUUCAACAAAAAUAAAAUAAAAAUGUAUGUUAUUUAACAAUCAUUUUUUAGACUAUUUAUGAGACAAUUAAAUAUAUAAAAAUUGUAAGUAUUGAUAUAAAAAUCAAAACAAAUAUAAAAGAGAGUAAAAUUACAAUUAAAAUAUAAGAGAGAGUUCUUGUAACAAAAUGAUAAGAAUCGUCCAAAGUGAACCUCUUAUGUAAAAAUGAUCAUAUGAUUAAUUCGAACAUAAAGUAAGUAUGAUAAGAAUCAAAACAAACAACAAAGUAAAGCAAAUCUGUAAAAAAAAAAAAAAAAAAAAAAAAAAAAAAAAAAAAAAAAAAAAAAAAAAAAAAAAAAAAAAAAAAAAAAAAAACAGACCAAAUUAAAAAUAGACCAAAUAAAAGUAGAAACCAGAGAACAUCAUGGAUGACUCACGAAACAAGAAUGGAUCAUUCCCCAAAAAAAAAUUGACCAAUCAAAAUUCUUUUUUUAGCAGAAUAUAUGGAGGUUAUUGUGAAAUGCAUGUUCAUGAAAACACAUGAAGGUCUACAUUAUCCUCGGAUAAUUUAUCCACAAUAAUGAAUAGGAUCCGAUUCUAAAACGAAGAAAAUAUUGAUCACUUGUUGAAUGAAAGAGAUAAAGAAAUUUAAUAUUCUUGAGAAGAAAAUGGUAACUACUUGUAAAAAUAAAGAUAAAAAAAUGAGAUUUUUCUUUUGAUAGAGAUAAUUAGACUCAAUUUAUCCAGAAGUAAUGCAUAAAAAACCAAAUACUUGCGUCCCUUUUUUUCAUGAUAUGUAGUAUUUUCCAUACUUUAAAUACAACGAAGUAUUGAAUCCUAAAAUUAGUUGCUCUUCAAAAUAACGCCAUGUAAUAUCCUCAAAUUGUUGAUCUAACCGUGCUUAGAUGAAAUGGUUCAAAUCUUAAAAAUAAAUUUUGAAUUUGAAAUUCAACCUAACAUUAAGUAUAUGUUUUCAACUGCAACAUCGAGAUUGAAUUGUUAAUUUUCAUCAUACCCUCCGUCAAGGAAACGAGUGUGCGAAUUGGCUUGCUAAGCAUGGUGAUGCUCUAAAGUCUUGGAUUGUUUGCCCUCCUCAACUACAUCAUUCCCUUCUGGAUGAUGCUCUUGGAGUUGCUCGCUUGAGAUUGUAGUUUGGUUUUCUUUUUAUCAUUUCUUCUUGAUAAAAAUAAAUAAAUAUAUGUUUGUUAAUGCGGUGAGUGAGACCGCACGUCUAAUCGAAGCUUCAAUUUGUAGCUUCCCUAUUUUUGCAUUGAUAUUGCAUUCGGACGCUAAAAACAUUGCCAAAACGUGAAACUAGACACACAAUUAAACACCUAUAAUGAAUUUAUGAUCUUAUCCAAUUUGAGGAAUUAAUUUGUACAUUUGCACACACAUAUGCUAAUAUGUUUACUUUAAUCGAUUUUAUAUAUAAAAUAAAGUUUAAUCAACAAAAAUGGAUGUAUUUAGUUAAAAAAUUUGACAAAAUACGUUAACUUUGUUGAUUUAACUAGUAUAUCUUAUACAUACUCUCUCCAUUUCACGUUCACUCACGUGUUUAUAAAAAGAAUAGUAGUAAUUGAUUAAUGUCAAAUGUAACCGGGCUGGUUGUUAGCACUUAGCAUGGCUUUGUUGGAUUUGGAGCAUUUCCCUGAGAAGAAGAUGACGCAAGUUGGAAAAGAACAUCUUGGGAAACCAAAACCUACUACCUGUUUGUCUUGGGACAGAGUAGUGUGGGAAUAGAUCUAAGCUUAGUACUAGUAGUAGCUGUGUCAUAUCAUAUGCAUGCAAUUACACUUUUGGAUAACAUACCUAAAAACAUGUCACGACCAUGUUUAAUGUUGUGUUGUGAUGUGAUUAAUUAGUGGUACUUAUAUGGGAAUCGCGUUGGAUUCACGUUAUUCAACAAAACCAAUUUAUUUUUGCAUAUAUAUAGUCAUUUAGUAGGUGGUAUUGGAGCAACCCACAUUUCCUUUGCUAUUUUUAUAUGCUAUAGCUAUACUCUUUGAUACUACUAGUAGUGAAAAAAAAAUGCUCUUCAAGUCAUUAUUGUAAUGGUUGAGGGUGAGUUUUCAGAAUUCAUAUAUGCUUUCUAGUGUCUACUGUCUAGUGGGUGUUAUGAAAGCACUCUCUAAGCAUCAUAUUCUGUUGCAGUCCUCACCUAUGAUUCUUUCUUUCUGACCAAAGCAUGUUUGAUCUGAGUACUACUACUUGUGUUGUUUCUGUCAUAUUUGUAUGUAAAUAACAAGGAUUUGCUUUUUGUUAAUUGAAUUAGAUUCCUUUGUUUGGGAAUUCAAUUCUUAUUCUCCCUUAGUUUUUGGGGGUUCUUAAAGCUUGUGACUACGUUGCAGGACUUCCACUCACUUGUUUCACAUUGCUUUGUUAAGCUUGGUUUAGCAUUUCCCUCUACAUUUCUUAAUUGGUAUGUUUUCUCCAUCUCUUGCAUUUUAUUUUAGUUUCUAUCUUUUCUCAAGUUUUAUGUGGUUGGAUCUAUACGUGUUGCUCUUUGCAUCAGGAUCUUAGUACAUAACUUCUCAUUUGUGAAAAAUACAAGUAGUAUUCAAUUAACUUGAUAAUGAUAAGAACUUGUUAAAGGUUCCUCAUCUUUGCAUUGUAUAUUUUGCUUUGAAACUCUUGAUGGAAGAUAACUGAAAAGACUCUGUUGAUUUCAGUAGUCUCUAGAUCGGGACAUGAAUUGAUGAAUUAUCUACCAUUUAUCUUCUUGUAGUUUGCACCUCCAUCUCACACCAUUAAUCACAUUAUAUAUUUAAUGGUGAGAUGUACUAUACUUACCAAAUAUCAAACUUUUGACUCUUUCAAAGUCGGUUAGUUAAUAGAUUGGGCCUAAUGAAAAUGUGGUCAAACUAUUUAUUUGAGAAUGAUCCGUGUCCUAUUCUCAUUCGUGAAAAUGAUAACACACUUACGUGUACUUGAACUUAUUAGAUUUGUGUAAGGAAUGGAUAACAUAAAUUAUUGGAGAAUGCUAACCAUUGUCCCCAAGAUAUUGGUUAAGCAACUAAAAUAAGUAAAUUUUUAAUAAAAAGUAGUGUAAUCAUUACUUAAUCAAAUGUGAUAGUUUAUAUUUUUAAGACAAAACUUUUAUUUAUGGAUUCUUUAACUAAUACUCUUAGGAUACUGAUUAGCAACACCCUAUUUAUUUCAUCUUGUACUAUCCAUUUGAGUAAUUGAAGUAGUGAAUCAUAUGUUGGCUUAGCAUAAUCUUUCCACAUAACCAAAUAUGUCACUUAAAAGUUACUAAAACUACUAUUUCUUAAAGUAUUGUACACACGGCUUGUCAGCAAAAUAUAAAAGAAGGACAUGUUAACUGGGGAAGGUUCAUAUAUAUUUAGGUACUAUAGCAGAAAUAGGAAAAAAUAAGGGUCAGUAGCCCAACCUAAGAGGAUUAAUCUAUGUUUAUAUUAUGAUGUUGAAAUAACACAACUCUAGUUUAUUUAUUCCUUAUUUAAGUGACUAAAAUUAAUAUAAUCUACAUAGUAUAGGGAUCAAAUUCUAGCAUGCAUAAAUAUAUAAAGAUAAUUGACAAGCAACUUUUAAAUAUUAUAGGAUUUAAUAAUUGUAAAAUGGGCAUGAAAUCAUGAUCCGCAUAAUAAGCUGUGGGACAUGUAUAUUUGUAAAAAUAAUAACUAAUGUUCAUACACAUAUGUGGCCUCUUAUCAACCAACAAUUACAAAGUUAUGGAUACAAUGGAUUUACCUAUGCACAAGAAUAGGACUAUUUAACAUUUUAACUACACUACACUAUAGCCUAGUUGUUGUUCCUUAGUUCCUACCUCACCUGAAUCAUACCUCUUCACAUAAUUUUGUAGCCAUUUAGAACCAAAUACAAUUUCCAUUUAGAUACAGAUUCCAAACCAUUUGAAACUUCUUGAUGUUGUACAAAGGUGAUUUUCAUAAGAUUCUUUUUUUGUUGUAUUAGCAAAUAUUUGGCCCAAUACUAUCACAUAACGUGACAUAUAUAUUUUCAAUAAAAAGGACAAGGUGUUUGGCUACACAUUUCAUUCAAAAGCUGGUUAAGGUAAUGUUUUAAUUAAGAUUUUCUGAAAUUGUUACACAUAGGUGCAUGCUUGAUUUAUGUGACAAUUUUUGUUCAUCGUGAUUUGAAAGAAGCUAGAACAUAAAACAGGUGACAUUGCGAUUGUAACUUCUACUAUUAAUGCAAAUAAAAUAUAUUUAGCCUUUUUUGAGAGGAUUUUUAUGUUUUUAAUUUUGUUAUCAUCCUAAUCUUUUUAUGAUUAAUUGGUGACAAUGAUACACAUGGAAUGGCACAUUGAUGGCUCUAGCUUAUCCUUUUUGUAUUUUAUGAGAUAUACCAUACUUUUACUAGUUUAUAUUUGUUGACAUUGACUAUGGCUGCUAUGUGUAUUGAUAUAAAUAUUGUCAUAGAUGGAUCUGUUAUCAUCAACAAGAAAUUUCUAUUCUAUAGUCUCAAUAUUAAUUUACAGUGACACUGCAAGAUCUAUUUUCCACGUCUCUUUUGAUAAAAGGUUGAAUAUUGUGUUAGGUUCUUCUGGUUGGCAAGGGAAAAAUGAAUGCACUAGCAGCUACAAACAGGAAUUUUAAGUUGGCUUCUAGGCUUUUGGGAUUGGAUUCCAAGCUUGAGAAAAGUUUACUUAUUCCAUUCAGAGAAAUCAAGGUAAACAAACAAAAUUAUUUCUCUUUGUUCUAGCAAAUUUGUUUACUAGGCUUGUUUUGUGUGUUCUGAAUGAUGGUGUCCUGAAAAUUCAGGUUGAAUGUACCAUUCCUAAAGAUGACGGCACGUUGCAAUCUUAUAUUGGAUUCAGAGUUCAACAUGAUAAUGCUAGAGGCCCUAUGAAAGGAGGGAUCAGAUACCAUCCUGAGGUUAUUUAUAUUCUAACACUAAUCUCAAUUACCAAGUGGCAUGGCAUAGUGACAUUACUGUCGCGAUACACUGAGAUUUAGUUCUGUCACUUCUAUUCGUCCUAUACAAAAAAACAUCAAUUACUAAGUAUUCAAUGAUUCGUAUAUGGUUGUUUGUGGUAUAGAUAAACUUGAUGAUCAGUAUUACAAAUUCAAAUGAACUGGUCUUUGGAACUGUUAUGUGUGUUUUUAGGCUCAAAGUUCUGAAUAUGAAUCGUUUAUUGGAAUGAUUAGGUUGAUCCAGAUGAAGUGAAUGCUUUAGCGCAACUAAUGACAUGGAAAACAGCUGUAGCAAAUAUACCAUAUGGUGGUGCCAAAGGAGGGAUAGGGUGUAACCCCUCAGAAUUAAGUAUAUCCGAGUUAGAAAGACUUACCAGAGUUUUUACUCAGAAAAUUCAUGAUCUAAUUGGAACUCACAUGGAUGUUCCUGCACCUGAUAUGGGAACAGGACCACAGGUUAGUUAGUAAAUUCUAAAUGAUUGAUGUUGCGGCCUCAUUGAUGUAAAUAUGGAUUAACAUGAUUUUUUGAAUUCAAUGUUAUCUUACUGUUUGAUAUGAAUGCAGACCAUGGCAUGGAUACUAGAUGAAUAUUCCAAAUUUCACGGCUACUCGCCCGCAGUGGUGACUGGAAAACCUAUAGUAAGUAAUUGUUUGCAUUUCGAAUUUCAUUGAACUGAGAAGUGAGAACAAACCAUGCUUAAUAAACCAUUAACUUUUCUAAAUUUGUUUCCUUUGUCAAACUAGGAUCUUGGUGGAUCUUUAGGUAGAGAUGCAGCUACAGGAAGAGGAGUCAUGUUUGCAGCAGAGGCUUUGCUUAAUGAGUACGGGAAGAGUAUAUCUGGACAACGGUUCGUCAUUCAGGUAACUUUUAAGCCUUUCAUUUAAGAACUUAUUCAAUGAAGUUUUUGGAUUUAGUAUUUUGAUACCAAAUUGUGUAUUUGUUCAGGGUUUUGGAAAUGUAGGGUCUUGGGCUGCACAAUUAAUUGAUGAGAAAGGUGGGAAAAUUGUUGCUGUGAGUGACAUAACUGGAGCCAUAAAGAACAGCAAAGGUCUUGACAUCCCUAGCCUACUCAAGCAUACCAAAGAGCACAAGGGAGUAAAAGGAUUCCAUGGUGGUGAUUCAUUUGAUUCUAACUCAAUAUUGCUUGAAGAUUGUGAUGUUCUAAUCCCAGCAGCUCUUGGAGGUGUCAUCAAUAGGUGCUUUUCUUUUUUUCAAUUACAAGAUAACUAUUUUAGAGUUAGUUUUUUAUUCUAAGGUUAAAUUAUAACAAAUGAAAUAUCUAAGUUUAAGUCUAUUUUGUUAUUCUUUUGGUAUGGUUGAAGGGAAAAUGCAAAUGAAAUUAAGGCAAAAUUUAUAGUUGAAGCAGCUAAUCACCCAACUGACCCUGAUGCUGAUGAGGUUGGUUUUAUAUCUUUUUCUCUUUCCUUCCCUUUCUCAAACAAAUUUAGACAGAUGAAUGAAAUCAAUGUACCAUUGUUAAUUACCUUCCUUACUUGCAGAUUCUAAAGAAAAAAGGUGUUGUGAUUCUCCCAGACAUUUAUGCAAAUUCAGGAGGUGUUACAGUUAGUUACUUUGAGUGGGUUCAGGUAACUAUUAUAUUUAUAUAAUUAAACUCUUGAUUUCAUAUGGAUGCUUUUGUAUGUGUAAGACUUAUAACUUAUGUAGCACCGACACUUCGUAUUGAAGGCUUAUUGACACAGCACUGCCACCUAUUGUUACACUCAAUCACUUCCAUUUUUUAAAAUUAUUACUAGUAUUUACGUGUCAAUGUCGUGUUCAAUGUCAGUGUUUGUUCAAGUGUUUAGUAGCUUAUAACUCAACUAAUCUAAUAUGUCUUGCUCUUAUGUGGUGAUUUUUGUGAUAUACACAGAACAUCCAAGGGUUUAUGUGGGAUGAGGAGAAAGUGAACAAUGAGCUAAAAAACUACAUGAACAGGGGUUUCAAAGAUGUGAAAGACAUGUGCAAAACUCAUGAAUGUGAUCUUCGAAUGGGAGCCUUCAGUCUGGGAGUUAACCGUGUGGCAAGAGCUACUGUCCUUAGAGGUUGGGAAGCUUGAGAUCUUCAUCUUGUAGUUGCUGCUUGGAAUAAAAGAGAGCUUUUAGUCUCAGUUGCACUUAUUCUUGCUGUCAAAAAGUUUUUGUUGCUUUCAUGUGUUGAGUGAACUGUGUUUUCACCCUAAAUUUUAUCAGAUUAAAGAUGAGGGUUCCAUGUACUAUUAUUGGAUUAACAUUCCAUUUGCUUAAUGAGUUAGAAUCUACUUGUUUUUUCUCUAAAAGUUUUUCCUCCAUCUAUAAGCCUUAAAAUACUUAAUACUAGGGACUUGGAUCCUCUGCGGCUCGGUCUGGUUCAAUAUCCACCAUUUUGUUAACCAACGGCCGAUGUUUAGUUGGCUCAGGCUUAGCUACAUGCAUGGGUAUAGAGAAUCCAUUACUAGAAACUAGAUAAGCGGUUCUCUGCUAUCCUCCAUAAGAUCUCGAUGGUGUAGAAAGAAUAGAAAGCUAGAGAUGUGGUAAGAAAAAGGAGCCAAAAAUGUCUAAAAUUAACUAACAUGAAAGACUUGUACUGUAUUGAAAGUUGAAAAACAUAUACAUAUUUUUCUGAAAAUCAAAAACUAUACCCAUGCAUGUGAAAAGUAAAAUGUGAAAAGAUUUGCAUAAAGUGAAUAUUCAAUCAUACAUUCCUUAAACAUUUGAAUUUAAAAUUUCACUGUAAAUUUAAAGGAUGAUAAAAGAUUUUCAAACGGGGAGCGUUAGGUCAGGUGACUUUAAAACUCAUCUAAUAUGAACUUGUUAAUUCUCCAUUUAGAACAGUAAUUUUCAAUAAAACUAUUGUACAAACCAGUGUAGGAUGUAAUUGCCUGAAUAAGCAGAAUUAACAUUAUUGUCUAAUAUUGUCUCCAGUGCAAAGCGUGUAGAGUGAAAUCAACACCACGCAAUUCUUUUGGCUAUAAAUUUGCCCGUGCGUACGAGCAAGGGAUACACACUAGUUAGAAAAACAAUGAAAGGUUUGGAUCUUCACAGUACAGCCUCCAGUGAUUUUUUCACAAGAUCCGUACCCACCUACUACCAGCAUGACCUAUAUCACGUUCUUAAGUUUUCAAGGCUGGAAAAUGGACCAAAUCAUAAAAGAAAAUAGUCAAACAGACUUUGAGCAGUUAUUAACGUGUAUCACACAUCCGCGAAACGCUGUUAUAUGGUUUUAAAAAUAAUUUCCAGAGUUAUUGAAGUUAAGUUUAAUGUGUAAGUUUCAAAAUCAAAAGCACAAGUUUAGAUGGAAAGCAAACUCAAUCUACCCUAUCAUACCCUGCCAUGGUGAUAAGUUGAUAACAUAUUACAAUCUAAUCAACACUCAAACGGAACCAUUCAGUUUCACAAGUUAAAUAAAAAGUCAAUUCAGCACCAAAUCUGCAAUUGCAACCCUAUGAGAUUGAUCAUCCAAAAACGAUUGAAGUACAAACAACUAAUAUUACAUGAAAUUGGUAUUUCCCUAAAAUCUGCCCCUUCCCCUGAAACCACCACCACGUCCACCUCUAGGAGGACCUCUUCCACCCCUUGGGGGACCCCUUCCACGAAAACCACCACCUCCACGACCACCGCCUCUGCCAAAACCACCACCUCCACGGCCUCCACCUCUACCACCUGAUGCUUGUCCCCUGCAAUAAUAAUCAGUCAAUUGUGUUAACUUCAAUCGAUUGUAAUACCGUUUCAAAAGCCAACAAAAAAUUCCACGCAAAGAUCCAACUGCAUACAACAAUUAACAAAAGGAAAUGUGGUACAGUACAGGUUACAUUCUAGCAUGUAGAAGAUCAAAAACUAAUUUUGGCUUUAUCUUAUCUCGGUAAAUCAUUGCCCCCCUCUAAUUUUUAUCUGAUAUAACAUCAAUUAGGGACAGUACAGGUUACAUUCUAGCAUGUAUCCGUAUAUAGCUAAUAUCAUAAACUAAUUUUGGCUUCAUCAUUUCUAAGUAAAUCAUCGCCCACCCACUUAACACCCUCUCACACUCAAAAUUAGACAUCUGCAACAUGGUCUAAUGCUUUUUUUUUGUUACAGGUCUAAUGCAAGUUGAACAACAAGGAUCUCAACAACCAUAACACUAAGAAUCCUUUAAAUAAACAAACAAACAAGUAUAACCAUAGCAGAUUACAUCAAGACAAAAGGUCAUAUUCAUUUUUUCAAUAAAACGGUCUCACAAGCAAUCAUUAAUUUAGGUAAUAAUAGAAGCACCGCAUGCUCACAACGAAAUAAGCACAACUUUUAACAAACUGCAAACAUAUCAGUAACAACAUAUGAAAUAAAGCAGUAGAGGAUGAUGCACAGAUAUAACAUAUGAAAUAUAAAGCAGUUCACACAUUCUUCCCAUGGUUAUAACAAACAAAACAGUAAUGAUGCAUGAAUAGCAACAUGCUAUGAUAUGCAGCACAAUACAUCAACAUAGCAAUCAAGAAAUAGUUCAAGUGUUAGAAAUACAAAACAAACAUUAUCAUAAACAUAAACAAGGAAAUUAAUUAGGAAAAUCUUUAUUUCAAACUACUAUUCAAUAUCCAUUUAACAUCAACUGUACAAUACUUAGACAGGUUAAUUUUAAGUCGGUGAGAACAUACUUCGGCUGAGGAAGAAAUCUUGCUAGAGGCAAGAGUUUCCUAGGGUCAAUGUAAAACUUGUCACCAGCAGCAUAUGAAGUAGCAACAAUCCCUUCCAUCAUUUUAACAGAAAAGUACUGCAAUUCAAACAAAACAAAAAUCACAUCAAAACCCAUUUCAACAAAACAUAUAAGAAAAUAAAAUCAACCAACAAAGAGAAACUGACAGAUUCAUUGAUGGGACCAAAUAUUUCAUCAACUUUCCCAAUCUGAGUCAUGUUUUGAAGAUAAAUAGGAGCAUUAAAAAAAGGAAUUUUCUCAUUGGUAAGCUUUGUAACAGCAUCUCCUUCACAAGCAUGGAUAAACGUUGAAACCUCUGCAUAACAUCAAAACAAACAAAACAACCACUCAAUAAAACACAAAAUAAAAAUAAAAAUCUCCUUUUUACAUAAACAAAAAGCUUAUAGAUAAAACUAAGUUCUACCCACGAACCUACGACUUCGGAGGGAGGUCCUUCAUCACGAAAUCCACCUCCACCACCACGUCCACCGCCGAAUCGACCACCACCACGUCCACGAAAACCUCCUCCGUCACGACCACCUCUGAAUCCACCAUCACGUCCACCUCUGAAUCCACCACCACGGCCGCCACCUCUUGCAGGGGGUCUCAUUGUUUGGGAAAGAAUGUAGUGAGACUGUGAGCUGAGCUUCGACAAUGGCGGGGCAGAGAGAAACUUUAGCUUUGGGGUUUAGGGUUUUGGUGAUGAAUAUCAGGGUUGUUAUGAGACUUUUUUGGGCCUCGGUUUUUAUUUUGGGCCAAAGCCGAUGGCCCAUUCUAAAGUUGGUCCACGUAUAAAUUGCUUUUUUUUUUCAAUUGUUUAUCUCAUUUCCACGUUUAACUACCUUAAGUAAUCCCAAUGUGAGUUAAGUCACGUUCGGUAGAACCAGCGUGAGUUAACUCACGUUGAUCCAACGCAAGUUAACUCAUGUUCAGUAGAAUCAGUGCAGGUUAACUCACACUGAGUCCUGUUAUGCUAACAUAACAACAUUGAAUGUAUGCAACACACGCUCGUAAUUGAUCCAAGUUACACCAAUUCGAAUACAUCAUUAACUCAUAAUACUCGUCAUAAUAUAAUCACUCAUAAUUGAUCCAAAUUACACAAAUUCGGGAAAACACAUGCAUGUGUGGACUUGACUGGGUUUCACCGCUUGUGGGAUUAGGGGUUGGGGCUUUUACAGUAGGAUAGAAAGCCCUGGAAGUUGCGUCCAACUAAGUGGCCAAACAUGAGAACGCGUGUUCUCUCACAACCAACAUGUUUUUCUGUUUUUUUUUUUUUUUGUCAGGUAGCCUAGUGGCUAGAAUUCACCUUAUAAGAUGAAUAAGUGGGGUGUCCGGGGUUCGAACCCCGGCCCCUGUAUAUAACAAUACAAUGUCCCUGCCAACUGAGUUAUGUUCACGGGGACCGCAACCAACAUGUUUUUAUACCAUUUAUUUUUCAUAUAAAAAAGUGACAAUUAUUUUUAAACAGAUUCUUUCAAAAAAUAUAUAUAUUAAAAUAGAUAAAAAAAAAAAAAAAAAAAAGAGUAAUACUUAGAACCUCUCUAGUAGGAUGAUCUUAAAUAUUUAAGACAGUACAUAUUAGGUAUAUGUAUUGGUAAGACAAAAUCUCGGGGUCUUAUAAUACCUAAGGUCUCACUUAAGACCCUCAAUCUUAAGUGAAACCCAUAUGUUUUUUCAUUAUAAAUUUGAAAUGUAAGGAUAUAAAGUUAUUGAUAAUUGAUUAAUGUGUACCAUUUAAGAAUUUUUGUUAAGGCUCUGUUUGGUAAAAAUAGCGGAUAGCUGAUAAACUAGCUGAUAGCUUUUAGCUGAUAGCUUUUAGCUGAUAAGCUAACUGAAGUGUUUGGUAAAAAUAGCGGUUCAACUAGCUGAUAAAUGUAAAAUGACAUAAAGGGUAUUCUUAAUUCAUAAAAAAAAAUUAUAUCAUUAAUUUAAGUAUUUGUAAUUUUGUAAACUAAUUUUUCUUUAAAAAAAUACUUUAAAUUUAUUAAUUUAAUAUAUCCUAUGUAUUAUAAAUUAAAUUAAAUUUUAUAUUAUAUUUAUUAUCAUUUAAGUGUUUCUACUUUUUGCUCAAAAAAAAAAAAGUGUUUAUACUUUAUAAAGAAAAUAACAUUUACCUCAAAAAAAAAAAGAUAGAAUUAAUAGAGUAAUAUUAAUGACAGAGAAUAAAGAAAAUAACACUUACCUCAAAAAAAUAAAAAUAAAAAAGUAACACUAAUAGAAUAAUAGUAUUUUGUUCCGUAAAAAAAGAAACGAAGGUAUAUAUUUUUUCAAAAAAAAAAAAAAGGCUAGCUGAUAUAUAUACAAAAAUUGGAAUAAAGGGAUAAUAGUUUUUAUUACGUAGCUUAUUAUAAAAAUUAUAAUGGAUAAAAAUACAAUUUAAAUGAAAUAAUAAGGGUAAAAUUGGAAGAAAAAGUGAGAAGCUAUAAGUUAUAAGCUCAAACGCUACUUGAAAUAGCUUCUGAAAAAUAGCUUAUAAGCUCGUGAAAUAAGCUAUAAGCUCAUGGUGAAAAAGUGUUACCAAACAGAGCUUUUUUUGUCAAAGGAACUUAUAAACUAUAAACUAAAAGCUAAAAUUUUUUUUUUUUAUUUCCCAAAUAGACCCUAAAAGAUUAUAAAUGUGUAAUGUGUACACGUAAGACCAAUUUAAAUAAAAAAAUAAAAAAAUCAGUGUUUCGAUUGUGGAUGUUUUUAGGAAUGUUAAAAAAAAAAAAAAAACACAACGUAAAUUUUGUUAAAGAUAGAACAGUAAAAUUUUGUAGGGUAGGUCCUAUUGGUAGACUUGAAGAAGAGUCACUCAAGUCAGCCUAUAGGUGUACCUCUUGGUCCGUGAGGAUCCAUUUCAGGAGAAACACGGUCAGGAGAGGACUGUGUUUAUAUAUAUGUCCAGAUUCAUUCAUUGAUUCCUUAACCGACAGACAACAACAUACCAACGUUGUUUCAUACCCGAUUUCAAUGCCUUCACAUUCGCCAUUUCCAUUUUCAUAACAUGACAUGGCUUAACACUUACCACUACACGCCAAACCAGAAAUAGGAAAACAACUUCAUUCUUAUCAUACACCAACACCACUCAGAUUCACACACCCCCCAAAUUUCUUCCUGGUAUGUAUUCACUCCCAUUCUCUUCUAUUUUCUUUCAAAAUCGUUUUUUUUUUUUUUUGUGUAAUGGGUUGUGAUUUUUUUUGUUAUUAAUUGUGCUACUAGUGAUGAAAACUGUGAUGAACUUAUUUAUAAUUUUUUUUUCAUUUGACAUUGUGAUGUCCCUGUUGAGAAAAAUGAACAGAUUUUACCUCUGAUAAUCAAGUUUUGUUAUAAAGUUAAUUACUUGCAUAAUUGAUCUAAUUAGAGUGAGUGUGAAAUUUAAAGGGUCCCACGGCUCAUCUGAUUAUUAUUGGUUAGAAUCUUGUUUAGGAAGACUGUUUAAAACUUGAGUGUGGAUUUUGCUACAUAUUCACUUGGAUGCUCUCCUUUUCUUGAAUAUUAAGUUAUAAGAUAUGAUUCUAUGGGAAGGCACAGCUUUGAUCAUGAAGGAAGGUCCAAUCAUGAUUAAACCUGUAUUAAAUCUUAUUAUUCAAAAACAAGAUCCAAAUUGGCAAAUCAAUAUGCUAAUGGCCCGUUUCGAUCGAUUUAUUUUUGAGCUUAUGCAAAUAAAUAAGCUUUUAUCUACAAUUAUCGUUAGUGAGAACUUAUGAAUUAACAUAAAAGCUUAUUUAUUUGCAUAAGAUAUUUUUCAUAAGCUAAAAAAUAAGCCAAUCCAAACGGACCCUAAGUCCAACUUAUUUCAUCGAUUUUAGUCUUUCAUCCUGAUCUUUAUGCAAAAGCAUUUACAAGUACAAUGUAUCUAGACGCUGACUAUGUCAAAUAUUUGUCACGUUUAUUAAUUGACACAAAAAAGAGUAGGUAUGGAUGAUUAGUAAAUUGAAAAUGCCUUUAGAAAGGUGGGUGGAUCUUCUAAAACUUUCAAAAAAUGGCAUGUAAUUCAAUCACAGUAUAUAGCCAUGCCAACAAUAUUUCAGCUUUCUUUAGAGAAAAUAAGGUUAUUGAAGGAUCCACCAUUGGUUUCUAAUCAAAUUUAUCAUAAAGUUUGUUGCUUGCAUAAUUGACUGUCAUUAGUGUGUAAGAAAGUGAAAGGGUCCCAUUUGCCAUCUGUUUGAUGCUUAGAAUAUUGUUCAGGAAAACUGUUUGAAACUUGAGUGUAAACUUUGGCACAUAUUGACUUAGAUGCUCUCCUUUUCUUGAAUAUUAAGACAUGAUUAUGUAGAAAGGCACAAUUUUGAUCAUGAAGGACCAACCAUGAUUAAAACUGUGUCUUUCUCUACCUAACAGGGCCAUAUUUAACUUAUUAAAAGACAGAAGAUCCAAAUCAAUAUGCUAGAUCCAACAUAUUUCCUUGAUUAUAGCGUUAUAAUAGUUCAUCUUGAUCUUUAUGAAAACCUUUUACAAGUUCAAUGUAUCUAGACGCUGAUUAUGUCAAACAGGUCACAUUUGUUAAUUGACACAAACAUGUGAGUGUGAUGAGAUCACAAUUCCACUAACAAUCUAUAAUUGGUGUAUUAUGACAUGCUUUCAACUAUGCAUCACUGCUGUAAUGCUUUCCCUCAUGAAGUACUUGCAAACAUCUUGAUUAGUUUAUUACUAUCAUGCUCUUCUUUUAUAAGAUUCUCUCUUACGUUUUGAUUCUGCAGGAAUCAAUGAAAUGCUUUUAGUUUGUUAAUAUCGGUACAUAGAUAAAACAAGUGGAACUGUUUCAAUGUCAACUCUUAGCAACGCAACAAAUAUAUUUUGGCAAGAUUGUCAACUAGGAAAGCCUGAAAGGCAGAAGCUACUUAACCAAAAGGGAUGUGUUGUAUGGAUUACUGGACUCAGCGGAUCAGGUUCAUAUUGUUAAGCUUAUUGACGUAUUGCACACCUUUUUCAGCAUUGACCCUUGAUAUGCUUUUAUCUUUUGUCAUGGGAAACAUUAUCAUAUUCUUGUUUGUGAUGUUUAUGCUUUUUAUUAUGUUUUAGCUACUCCCCAAAUUUAACAAUCCCCUUUAAGUUGAUUUGAUCAACAGGAACUUAUUGUGUGUCACGCAUGAUAGUUUUCCAUGUGUUGUUAAGUCUAUAUUUCCUUUCAUUCUUAACAAAAAUAUGAAAUGAAGCAAACCAAAAAAGCUUUGCAACUGUUCCAUUUAGAGCAUAGUAGAAACAUUUUCUUCACUUUGUUCAUUUAAAUCAACUCUGCCACUCUUUGCAAUAUCACUUUGUUCAUUUGAAUCAACUCUGCCACUCUUUGCAAUAUGUAACAAAUUAGUCACUUCUUUAUUAGUUCAACCAGCAAGGCUGGUCCAAACCAUCGAAAGGUUUUAUGUUGCAACGGACAUUUCCAAGCACAGAUAACAUUGGUGGCAGAUGGCAAUUUAUCCCUGUCAUGUAUGAAAGGAAAUUAAAGUUAUACAUUAUUUAACUAUUUUCAACAUUAUGCAGAUUUUAGAUAAAAGUUAGGACUAGGUUUUUUAUUCUAGUGCUUCUAUAUUUUCUGGAACCUGGUGGGAGAAGUAAAUUAAAACCAGGAAAUUUACAUAGAAACUUGUAAGACUGAAAGAAACCUCAAGGCCGUUUACUUUGAGAAAAUCUUUUUUGUUUUCAUUUUGAAUUGGAAAACUUCCACUUUGUUUUGAAUUUAUGUCCUGUUUUCAAGUUUUGUAAUUAGAAAAAAAAAAAAAAAUGCUUUCUCAACGUAAACAGACCCUUAAAUAAAACUGUUUACUUUUUCUCUAUUUUGAUUUUUGCUAUCGUUCUCUGUACUGAUUACAAAAAGUAUAGAGAAACUCAGAAGAUUGAGGAGAACCAUAGAUACAAGUGUAUCUCUCUAUUUUGAUUCUUGCUAUCAUCCUCUGCACUGAUUGAAAUGACUACAAUGUACAGCUGAUAUGGUUCAUUCAUUAUUUGUGUUUUGUUUUGACCUGUCCUUAACUAUUAUCAAAAGAAAGGUGGCCCUCUCUCCAUGAUUUUUCACUUAUUCCAUCCAUUACCUUUCACGUCACAGUUAUUACAUACCACAUUCUAGUUCUUUUGCGAGUGAUUUGUAAAUUUUAGGACUUUAGGAUACCAGAAACUGAUGCAUAAUCUUUGUAAAUUCCUGAGUGAUUUUUCACUUAUUCCAUCCAUUACUUCAAUGUGAAAUGUGGCUCCCACAUGCUGUGUUGAUUGUUUUCUCAAACUUUUCAGGGAAAAGCACACUGGCAUGUUCACUAAGCAGUGAACUGCACUCAAGGGGAAAAUUAUCUUAUAUCCUUGAUGGAGAUAACCUUCGGCAUGGACUAAACAAGGAUCUUGGUUUUAAACCUGAAGACCGCACUGAAAAUAUUCGCAGAACUGGUAAGCUUUCUCCAUAAACAAAUUGUGUAAGAGAAUAAAUAAAAGGAAAAAACUUGAUUGUCAGUUUUAACCUGUUAACUAUUUGGUUAUCUUAUCUGCCAAGUAGAGUGAUAAUAAUAGUCUAGAUUGGUAUGCGUGAUGAAUAUUAAAUUUCUUGUUGACCCUUAGAACAGCCUAUUAGUAUCUGUGCACACAUUUUUGCUAUUUAAAAAGUGCAUAGUCGAAUUAUUGUAUUAAAUUCAAAAGGAUUGACGGUCUUACGCGAUGUACCGUGUUAUCUAUUAUGCCUAUAUGUAUCACGGCUAUUAGUAUCUGUGAACAAUACUUUGGUUAUUGCAGUUAUAUGGCUAGCUGGUCUGUAUUAAAAAUUCUGAUGCAUGCAAGUUUUCCAAAGUUACUGAUAAAUAUAUAUAUUUAAUUCAGGUGAAGUGGCGAAACUCUUUGCCGAUGCUGGUCUAAUAUGUGUUGCUAGUCUCAUAUCUCCUUAUCGAAGAGAUCGGGAUACUUGCCGUGCCAUGUUGCCUGAUGCCAACUUUAUUGAGGUAAGGUUACUUUAGGCAUUUCUUGUCAUUUGUGCAAGGUAGACUACAUGAUAUCUGAUACGAAUAGUAAUUACAGGUCUACAUGAACAUGCCUCUAUCAUUGUGUGAGGCACGGGAUCCAAAAGGCCUCUAUAAGCUUGCUCGUGCUGGAAAGAUCAAAGGUUUUUUUUUUUUUUUUAAUGUGUUUUACUAGUGGAAGCUUCUCCCCACCCUUCUAAUAUAAGGAAACUGAAAUUUUGAGAUGUAGUGAGAAAGAAAGAAAUAAAGAGCUUGCAUUCAUAAAUCUUUAGUUAACUUGGCUGCAAUUCAUUGCGAUCCACAUCAACUGAAUGUCACAAUUAACUGCCAUAUGUUUUAUGCCAUUUAUGCAACAAACUUCAAACCCUAAUGAAUUUUGUUAACAUAGUUCAGAGCCUAUAUUGCACCUUAGGUUGAAUAGUGAAAUAUUCUUUCUUGCAUUUCCUAUUUGAUAAUGUUCAUUUAAAUUCAAACACGCGUAACGAAUUGCUUAGAAUAACUUAUUUAAUCUCACUGCUGAAACUAUUUUCAUAUUUUGAGUUCUACCAUGUGCCGUUUUUGUACUAAUUGUGAAAUUGCAUAGGUUUUACCGGCAUUGAUGAUCCUUAUGAACCACCCUUAAAUUGCGAGGUAUGUGUUCGCGAUGCUACUAUAUCUCUUUACAAAUACCUUUUUUUCUGUGUCUGAUGUGUUAUGUAGAUGAAUGUAUUUUAACACAUUCUCUCAUUUCCAGAUAGAAAUAAAGGAGGAUGAUGGAGAUUGUCCAACACCAAAAGUGAUGGCAGGACAAGUUGUUACUUACUUGGAAGAGAAAGGGUUUCUUGAAUGUUAGGGAAAUAUUCAUAUAUCUAAUGUUUGAACUUGUAAUGUCUGCUAGUAUUCUCUAAUUAUAACGUUUCUUCUAGACUUCUAGUUGAAGUUGAAAACCUAGAAAGUGUGUUAGCAGGAGGCACUGCCGCACUGGUGAGAGGAUAAGGGGACUUGUAAAAUUUAUCAACUAUAUAUAAAUUUUAAUUGCAUACAUAUAUUUUUUAAAGAAAAAAAAUCAUUCAGUUGAUUGAUGAAGAUUAAGUUGAUGUUUUUCAAGGUAUGAUGAUAUGAUUGUCUUCUUUGCAACGUUAAUCAUUAGGGUACUAGGAAAUUAAAUUACAGUUACAAAGGCUGCUUGUGAUUUAUAGUAUACUUAUGUUUGUUUUCUGAUAAUUGUGAAUUAUGUGCAGCUCAAGAUAAAGGCUCAUAAUCUUUUUUUUAAACAAGAUAAAGGCUCGUAAUCUUUUUUUUAAAACAAGAUAAAGGCUCAUAAUCCUUUAACUGCUACACAUUCAACAUGAUAUGGUUUUGCUCAAUUGAUACAAGGCUAUGUUUGUGACUGACAUUUAGAAAGUGAGAUUUUUGUUUUCCUGUGUUGGAAAGUAUGAUAUGAUUGUGUACAAAGAAUUGACUUAUUGGUAUUUAUUGACAAAUUUAUUUGGUCAAAAAUAAUUAUUGACUAUUGACUAUUUUGUACAACCGGAUAUUGGGACUAAAUACAUACUACUAUUUUUUGGAUGAAUGGACUAAAUACACACUAUUACCUUUGUGUGAGAGUAAAAAAAGGUAUACUUAAUUUUGGUUUCACGAAUUUUCUUCCAAUUUUACCUUUGGCUUUAACUCGCCAGUCCCCCCUAUUUUAUCGUUUUUUUUUUUAUCAAUCCAAUAACUUUAUUUUUCAAUUACUUUAUUGAUAACAGCGGAAAGUUCAAAGAAAAAAAGUGGAAAGUUAAUCUGUAACCUGAAACACCAAGACAUGUAUUAAUAUCUUGCGUCGGAUAAGAUCACAAUGAAUGAUAAAUCACUUCUUCAAUAGAUUUAACAUUGUUUCAUUUUAGUGUUGGAUUCGAACACAAAACUAAAAGAGAUUUCUUAUCAUCUCAUCCAAAUAUUGUUAAAUAAAUAUUGAUAAAUAAAAUGCUACAAAAAUUAACAUCACUCUACCCUUUUAUAUAGGGUGACAAUUUUAUCCACUAAUACAUCAUCCAUCCAAAUCGUAAACUCAUUCAAUCCAUCCUCCCUCAUCUAUAUGUUUUUUUGUUCUGGGAAUAAUAAUAGAGUAAAUAGUCAAUUUUCCUUUGAAAUUGUAGGUUUCGUCAAUUACCUUCCUGAAAUUAACAAAACUUCAAUUACCCCAUGAAAUUGCAUAACGUUAAUCAAUUUACCCCCUCCUUCAAAUUUUUCUGUUAACUGUUUACGGUUAUGAUCAAAUACCCUUCUGAAAUUUUGCACUUAUGUGCAAAAUGUCCCCUAAACUUGAAAAUUUAUAUAUAUAUUUUUUAUCCUUGACUCAAAAGAUAUUAAAGGCAAACAAUUAACAAUUAUUGAUCAUAUAAAUCUUUAUGAAAUGUAUGUUUAUACAGCUAUUGGUAACAUAAAUCUUUAUGGAAUGUAUGUUACUCUCAUGUGUUCUAAAUAUAUACAUAUAUAGAAGACUUAUUUUUACACAAGUUGGUAAUUAUGUUAGAGUAUGCGGUCAUAAAGUACACAAGUUUUUUAUAAUUGUGUGUCCAUAAAGAAAAUUCAUAGGUUAAUAUCUGCACAAGGAAGAAGAAACAAGACUUAGGUUUGUGAAUUUGCAACUUGAUUAAUGAUAUAAUUUUUAUAGUGCAGGAAAUGUCAUAUCUAUUAGCUGCAACAUGUUAAAUAGAUUAUGUCAUAGACCUUCUGCAUGAAGCCGAUAUAUCACAUUGUACUACAAAGUUAUGUGAUAGAUAUCAAUUUUCUGCUGCUAUAACAUUCUUGUCUUGGUGUAUUUCAACAGCUUGAUAUCUUUUUAAUGUUUGGUUUUUAGUUUUACCUUCUUUGUAAAAAAAAUUAUUGCUCCUUGUUGAUAAAUAUGAAAUAUGAAUGAAAAGGCUGCACAUGACAAAACCAUGAUUUCUUUGGCAUAUUUUCAUUCAUUUUCUUGUGAAUAGAAUUUUUAUAACAAUAGAUACAAUAUACUACUUGAAGAACUAAAUGUAUGAUUUUUGGUAAGAAAAAAUCUAAAUUUUGCACAUAAGUGCAAAAUUUUGGGAGGGUAUUUGAUCAUAACCGUUAACAGUUAACAGAAAAAUUUGACGGGGGUAAAUUGAUUAACGUUAUGCAAUUUUAGGGGGUAAUUGAAAUUUUGUUAAUUUCAAAAGGAUAAUUGAUGAAACUUACAAUUUGAGGGGGGAAAUUGACUAUUUAGUCAAUAAUAAUAUCAUUGUUUGUUGGUAUCAUCCAAUAAAUAGAAACGUCCAAUGUUUGAAUUUGGAUCACAAAAGAAACAAAGUACAACACAAGACGCAUAUCUGUUGUUGUUAGAUCUAACUGACUGCAAUAACAUCAAUCAAAGUACAAAGAACGUAGAAGGAAGGAUGGUACUGAACAGCGGUGUGGUGAUGAGGGUGGCGCACGUGUCAGCUAGGUUGUGUCAAUACAUAGCGUGUAAUCCUGAGAUGUUGAGCAGCGACGCCGUUUUGGGUCUCAUCUUUUGUCUUCCUUUCCAACGUUUCUUCUUCUCCCUUUCUUCUUACCUGGGUUAUCCUCCUAUUCCUCAACACUCAGAUUGAACAUCUUAGCUUUUUUGUCGUUUAAUUUCUGUUGUGUUUAUGUCUCUUCUUCAUAUGUAAAUGUAAUUUAUAAAUAAAUCUACAUUAUAUUUCUUCUGUUACUUGUUCCCGUUGUUGUUUUUGUAUUGUGUUUGCGUAAUUGUUCCCGAUUGACAACAAGAAAUUAAAUUAUUAUUAUGAGGUUGGUUGAUGGGUCGGUCGGUCGAGUGAAACAUUUUCUUUCCAUCGGGGAGGGGGGGAUCCAAGCUUUGCUUCAUGAAAUGAGUUGACUUUCUUAAUAACAAGCUUCUCUUAUUUAAAUUGAGAAAUGAUAUUUGUACAACCAUUUUCUAACAAUUUUUUGACAACUUUAUCUCUCAUACUCACAUUAUCUUUUUAUUCUCUCUCUAUUAUUUUUGACCAAUCAAAUGAGAGACAAUUAAAGUUGUCAUAGAAGUUGUACCAAAGAGUUGUACAUAUAUCACUACUCAUUUAAAUUGUUUAGCAUUUCAAGCUUUUCA
rnacentral:lncRNA from 1 species